GAUGAACGCUAGCUACAGGCUUAACACAUGCAAGUCGAGGGGCAGCAUGACCUAGCAAUAGGUUGAUGGCGACCGGCGCACGGGUGAGUAACACGUAUCCAACCUGCCGAUUAUUCCGGGAUAGCCUUUCGAAAGAAAGAUUAAUACUGGAUAGCAUAACGAGAAGGCAUCUUCUUGUUAUUAAAGAAUUUCGAUAAUCGAUGGGGAUGCGUUCCAUUAGUUUGUUGGCGGGGUAACGGCCCACCAAGACAUCGAUGGAUAGGGGUUCUGAGAGGAAGGUCCCCCACAUUGGAACUGAGACACGGUCCAAACUCCUACGGGAGGCAGCAGUGAGGAAUAUUGGGCAAUGGACGAGAGUCUGAAACAGCCAAGUAGCGUGAAGGAUGACUGCACUAUGGGUUGUAAACUUCUUUUAUAUGGGAAUAAAGUGGGCCACGUGUGGCUUUUUGUAUGUACCAUACGAAUAAGGAUCGGCUAACUACGUG
rnacentral:rRNA from 1 species